CACUAAUACAAAUAUUAAAGAGAAUGGGUCCAAGUACAAAUCAUGAGGUACCCCACUGGUGACAAGUGGGGUACCUCAGGGAUCUGUACUUGGACCCAUUCUCUUUAAU